rfam:Calocera cornea HHB12733 unplaced genomic scaffold CALCOscaffold_57, whole genome shotgun sequence.
GGCAACUUGGCGCAGUUGGCUAGCGCAUCUGUCUAACAAGUUGCCUCUCCAGGCAGGUCCUUUGUACACAGAAGGUCGCAAGUUCGAGCCUUGCAGUUGUCA